GACACGGGAUGACAUUUUCAAAUGGUAUGAGAAACCCUAAUUCUUUUUUUAGCCAAAAACAUAUAAUGACUUCAAAAAUGGUAUGAGAAAAUUAAGCGAAGUCAGCAGACGUCCUCUGAAUCAGAGAUGGAUACCGCUGACGAGGAGCAGGGGAGAAAAAGCUAUAAUCCAUUAUCGUUCUACUCCCCUGAUCCGAUCAAGGUAAACAAGUCCUUACAAUUAAAGCUGCUCAACAAAAACUAUAUUCCACUCUCGCUCUUCACCUACGGUUCCACCGCCGACCGCCGUCGUCAAUCAAAGAGGUCAGCAAAAUUCCACUAUGGUUCUACGAUGUCUCCAAAUCAAAGGUUGACGUUUUAUAAUUCGUUAUCGUUCACCUACUUCUUUCACUUGUGAAUGAACUUUAGUUGAUGUCCAGAAUAAACGUGUAAGUACUCCCGCUUUCAUGUCUUCUUAAACUGCACAGAAACUUUCAUUGGUAGGGUGGCAAAUUUAUAUUUCUUAGUUUCCAUUUGAGUUUAGUGUUUCUUAUUCAUCUGCAGCUCCCUCUAGUUUUGGCUGUCAAUAAAUCGUUCUUAUAUAUGCUUAAGUGAUUUUUGUUGGCAGGUUAAAUUUAGAUAUUAAUUAAGGUUGUAUUUUGGCUCUUGUGUUUUAAUUAUUACUUGACUUUUCCCUGUUUUAUUGUCAUCAAUAAAUUUGAUCAUUUUUCCUUUAUCUUAAACUAUUGAAUAGUUCUCAAUUUUCACUAAGUGUAGAUUUGCUUUACCAUCAAAGAGAACUAAAUUACUUGCUCAUUUAUACUUAAUGGUUGUAUUUUGGCAAUUGUGUUUUGAAAAUUACUUGGAGUUUCACUAUUUAAUUGUCAUCAUCAAAUUCGGUUGUUAUUAUUUUUUUUAAGCUUAUACUAUUGAAUACUUCCCAAUUUGCACUUGGUGUAGAUUUGCUUUACCAUCAAACAUAACUUAUUUUAAUUGUUCGAUUUCCUUGGGAUAAAUUUGCGUAUAAUUUCUUCCGUAUAUGCCCGAUGAUGAUUUUUCCCUAUUAGACAUGUUACUCUGAAUAUGAUUCACAGCUUUUCCAUCCAUUCUGCCUUUCUUCUCACUGUCAUCACUUCUAACUAUGGUGUUGUUGUUGGUGCUGUUGUUGUUCUACUUCCUUUUCUUCUUCGUCUUCUCAUUUUCAUUGUCGUUGUUAUCACUACUACUGACAGUGGGUAGAGAUGGUGGAGGUUGUGCGAUUCUUUCUCUUGUGCACAACCUGAUGGAUGGCGAGAGGCUUUUCUGGAUGUUGAAAAAUUACUAACCUACUAAAUAUCUGAGGGCACAGUUGCUAUCUUGUGUUUGAAUAAUUUUUUCAAUGGUUUCACUUUUAAUUUAUUUAUUUGACUUGUUAUUUUCAUGAAUCAUGACUAACAUACUUCCGUCAAGUAUCUGUUGUCUUCUGUGUAAUUCUAGUUACAUAUGUUUGUUGUGCAAGUUAGAGAGAAAGGAGGUGGGGAGCUUUUGUGGAUAUGUCUGUAUGUUUAGCUAUGAGAUCUGCGGGCUCUGCAUUUAUUUUUAUGGCAAUUGUUUAGGACUCUACAAAUGUUAAAAUAUGUUUACAUUCUCAUUACAUGCAUUCUAUCUCUUACAAACUUUUUAAGUUAUUAACUUCUAGGAAAAGUGAAAACAAUAUAGCAGGUUGAAAGGAAUUGAAGCGUGUGUUUGGAAUGCUGGUGGACCACCGCCACCGUACGUUUCAAGCCCCUCCAACGUGAUUUUGAAAAGCUACUAUUGGUAGCUUUUGCACAACGCACCGUAUUGCCGUGAUUCUUUUACAUUUCCAAGCAUAGGCUUAGUUAGUUUUGUUCAAAACUCAACUUCAUGACUCUAGCUACCUACGAGUUUCUCUAACUACGGUUGAAAGGAACCGUAGUUAUGUCCAGAACUAAUGUGCAAGUACUAAAGCUUUUCAUAUCUUCUUUAACAGUUUAUUUCAAUUAAACUUGGAUGCCAAAUAGUUUUACUUUAUUUUAUUUCAAUUAAUAAGUUGAUGUAUUUUGCAAGCAAGUUGGGUGAAGACCUAUUUUGACUUGGAAUCUUUUGUAUAGUGACUAUGUAGUGACAUUGGAAGGUUGUUUGAAUUAGUUUUUAUUUGAUUCAGUUGUUAUUUAUGAUAGAAAUUUUUGUUCUGGCAGAUUUGUUAUUUUUAAUCCCUGUCUUUCUUGAAACGAAUUUGAUAAAACUCCAUCUUACAAUACUCUAGAGAGGUAAAAUGAUCAAUCGGCACUUUGCAAUCUUUCCUUUUGGUUGAAAGAAUAGAAUAAGGUGAAUGCAAGAAAAAUAAUAGAAGCAGCAGAUCAGACCCACCAACCAAAUUUAGUGCGGCAGAAGCCAAUAUCCUGAAUAUAUUCUUGAUCCAUAAUGUUUUUCACUUCAUAUGCUUCACCUUUUGCUUCACUUGUAAAAUAUUGUUAUAAUGUGGGAUGGUUGUUGAUUGCUAUGCUUUUUGGAUUUGGAUACGUGUUGUUAAUUUACUUCAAUGGCUCAAUUUGAAUGGGGAAGGAUGGGGAAUGUAUACGAUGAAGGAAAAAUUCAAAAUGAUUAAGAGCAACUAAAAGAGUGCCACAAAUCUCAUACUCAAAAUUUCAUGGUAAGAUCAAGUUGCACAAUAGCUCAUUAGGCUUGAUUUAAAAGACGAAUCGCAUAACUUAUUAUAAGCAUAGGUGAAUCGAACUUUAUGAGUGGACUUGAGAAAUUCCCAAGUAUCUUUGGCCACAAUACAAGUGACGCAUAAUGUUCACCAAUUGCAUAGAUAAUAAAGUUGAUGAUUUCAGAGUGACAAAGAGCAACCUCAGAGUCUCCUAUCCUAUCAAUUCUUCAAGAUCUAUUGUCCAUUGAUAGUUGGAAUUGUGAGUGCAACUUCACCAUUAGAAAUUUUAAAUGAUGUCGAAACUAAAUGAAAACAUAGUA